UACGGAGGGAGCUAGCGUUGUUCGGAUAUACUGGGCGUAAAGCGCACGUAGGCGGCGCCGUAAGUCAGGGGUGAAAUCCCGGAGCUCAACUCCGGAACUGCCCUUGAAACUGCAGUGCUAGAAUCUUGGAGAGGCGAGUGGAAUUCCGAGUGUAGAGGUGAAAUUCGUAGAUAUCGGGAGGAACACCAGUGGCGAAGGCGGCUACCUGGGCCAGUUCUGACGCUGAGGCGCGAAAGCGUGGGGAGCAAACAGG
rnacentral:rRNA from 1 species